ACCAUACGAAAAAUAACCAUCAAUGGCUCGCUGCUCCAUCCCUCGCCCCCGCCGCUCGAGCGAGAACCACUCGCAUGCACGACUCGUUCGGCACCGCCGCCGCUCCAUCCCUUCCACCUGUGACCUCGCCGCCAUCUAGUUCCUCUCCGUUCCCAUCUGCCACCUCUGCCGAGAUCCGAGGCCUCCGACUUGUGGGCUGACGCCACUGCCGCGGAACCCCGGGGCAAGGCAGGGUGAUGAUGCGUUGUGGGUAGCGAGGAGGGGCACAUGGGCGUGCCCUGCAUCGAGGAGGAGCUCAGGUACUUUAAAUCGAGGAGGAACACCGCUGUCUUUCUACAUGGUGGCCGCUCCCCUCGAUCCCCUCCAUCGCCUCCGCCGCCGCCGAGGUACGAGAUCGCCUCCAUCUUGUUCCUUCCCUGGCCACGCCCCUCCCAAUUUCUGCCCCUCAUCUAGCUAGGGUUCUCACCCGCCGCCGUGCGGUGAUGGCAUUGUGGCGAAAGAAGGUCUUAUUCCUAGAGAGCCGCUACCAGCCUCCGCCUCCACUUGCGGCCAAAGACAGAUCUCAAUGCUUGCUUGCUAAUGUGCGUGUGUGGAUGUUGCUGGUUGCUGCUGUUGUGCACGUCUACUUGGUGUGCCCCUGCUGUUUUGUGUUCUCACCACCACAUCGACGACAAAUACAAUUUCUUAGUUUUCUUAGAAUGGUUCAGGUUCGAUAUGUUAGGGCUGAAGUACGCUCUUGAGUUAAAGAAAGACCUCGAGAGACUCUGUAGUGUGUAUGCAGGAACUGAAGACAUGUAUUAGAGCCUGCAUUGAGCCUGCAUUGAGAAAUAGUUGACAAAGAAGGAACUGAAAUGAGGUUACUGAGGCUGCAUUUAAGAAUCUUGGUUGAUGAGCUGAUCUCUGACCAAAAACUCAAGAACUAGAAGCAAGCCUGACAUUCUUUUUCUGUAAUUGGUAAAUCUGAACCUGCUCAGACCACGGGGAGGAUUUCUCUGGUGGACUAUCGCUGGCAAGGUUGGCAUGGGAGUAGGCCCGUACCAUGGGUUUGUGUGGCUGGAGGACCGUGGCCAGUGCUGCGAUUGCCUGAUGUCCAUGUGGAGCAUAGCUCGGCAUGAGGUGAUAUCCUUCUAUGAUAACCUAGCUGUACACAAUUUCUUCAAAGAAAAUUAACAUAUAUAUCAAAGUUGAGAUUUGCAAUGUAUUUAAAUUAGUUCUUAAAUUGCUCCAAAGCUACUGAAAUUUCCCUUAUUAUAUUUUUCUGUAGAUACUGAUUGUUCAAAAUUAAACUCACUACUUAAAUUCCAUAGAAACGAGAGGCUCAAGGAAGCAACAAGUAGGAUGAAGGAGUUAACGGGCAGAAGCAUAGAUCACAGAAAAACAAGAAUAUGUUUGCUCCCCAUGCUUUGCACUGAUGUAUAGGUUCGGAAGUUUAAAAGCUUCAUGCACUCCCCAUGCUUUGUAUUGAUGUAUAGAUAACCGGUUCAGAGAAAUGCAAACAAUGGUUGGGGGUUCUAAGAAGGAUGACCCUAAAUGGGAGCAUGACAGACACCAUGGUCCAGGAAAUAAGGGGGAAUCCCAUGGUGUCUACUAUGCUUUUAGAAAUCCUAUGCAGUCAGGGAGAUUCCUUCAGAUUUUUGCAUGAUGAGCAGGUAGCUGUAAAGGGUCGUGGUGUCUACUAUGCUUUUUAGAAAGGAUUUACUAUAUUUGUGCAGCAGGCUACAUGCUUUUCUGAAUGACCAUUUAAGGAGUGAACAUGAACUGGUGAUGUAUGUGUUCCAUGCUCCAUGGGGAGGGAACAAGGAUUGAUUUUCGCCGGGAGUAGGAAGAGUAUGACUUGCCUAACAGAAGCACAAACACAAAUGGACACUCUGCAGUUGUAUCAGACACACCACCACAAGACCUGCUGUGUGCGUCACAAUUCUUAGCAGCGACCGUUACGACCGUGCAAUGCAAGAUUGCUAGCGACAAGGAUUUGAGGAGGACAAGACGGUAGCUAUCGACAAGGAUUCAAGAAGGACCAGAUGCCACUAUGGUGGUUGUAAUAUUAGUCGAGACGAAUCUGAAAAAAUUGAGUAGAGAUGUGGAGAUAUGAUAGAUUUUGCACAAAAAAAACCAGUAAAUUUUUGCUACAGAGAACAUAUCGGUGUGCAUAUAUCGAUUGCACUUGCUUCAUAGCGCAAUACGUUUAUCCUGCUA